AUUGAACGCUGGCGGCAGGCCUAACACAUGCAAGUCGAGCGGAUGAAGGGAGCUUGCUCCUGGAUUCAGCGGCGGACGGGUGAGUAAUGCCUAGGAAUCUGCCUUGUAGUGGGGAUAACGUCCGGAAACGGGCGCUAAUACCGCAUACGUCCUGAGGGAGAAAGUGGGGGAUCUUCGGACCUCACGCUAUCAAAUGAGCCUAGGUCGGAUUAGCUAGUUGGUGGGGUAAAGGCCUACCAAGGCGACGAUCCGUAACUGGUCUGAGAGGAUGAUCAGUCACACUGGAACUGAGACACGGUCCAGACUCCUACGGGAGGCAGCAGUGGGGAAUAUUGGACAAUGGGCGAAAGCCUGAUCCAGCCAUGCCGCGUGUGUGAAGAAGGUCUUCGGAUUGUAAAGCACUUUAAGUUGGGAGGAAGGGCAGUAAGUUAAUACCUUGCUGUUUUGACGUUACCAACAGAAUAAGCACCGGCUAACUUCGUG
rnacentral:rRNA from 1 species